ensembl:Mt_tRNA
UAGAUUGAAGCCAGUUUACUAGGGUAUUUAGCUGUUAACUAAAAGUUCGUGGGAGAUGUAUCCCUCCAAUCUAGU